CACUUUAUAUUAAGGAGUGAUUAGUAAAUAAUUAAAACUAUAAGAUUUKUCCCCUAUGGUGAAAUAUUGUGACUAUGGAAACCMAAAAUAGAUUGAUAUUGGUAAAUAUUGGCCAUAAACAUGGAUUAGAUACCCAUUUAUACAAUACCCGUUAAUUAUUUACGGAGCACUACAAUCUCGCUAGAUUAAAACUUAAAAAACAUGGCGGUAACUUUAACUUAGGGGAACUUACCUAUUAAUUGAUAACCACCAAGGUUAAACAACCUUUAAAAAUUUUUGUAUGCCGUCGUCUUCAGAUAACACUUGAAGUAUUAUCAUAAUAUUUAAUAAUUAAAAGACAGAUCAAGGUGCAGACAAUUUAAGGGAAAAGGCGAGUUACAGUUUUGAUUAUUAACGAACAUUAGCAAUAAUUUGCUACUUAGAAGGUGGACUUAAUAGUAAAAAAUAUAAUAAUUAAUUUUUGAACUACCUGA
rnacentral:rRNA from 1 species